rnacentral:rRNA from 1 species
GACGAACGCUGGCGGCGUGCUUAACACAUGCAAGUCGAACGGUGAACCGGGCUUCGGCCCGGGGAUCAGUGGCGAACGGGUGCGUAACACGUGGGCAACCUGCCCCAGACACUGGGAUAACUCCGGGAAACCGGGGCUAAUACCGGAUACUCCGGUCGAACCGCAUGGCUCGAACGGGAAAGCUCCGACGGUCUGGGAUGGGCCCGCGGCCUAUCAGCUUGUUGGUGGUGUAACGGCCUACCAAGGCGACGACGGGUAGCUGGUCUGAGAGGACGACCAGCCACACUGGAACUGAGAUACGGUCCAGACUCCUACGGGAGGCAGCAGUGGGGAAUCUUGCACAAUGGGCGCAAGCCUGAUGCAGCGACGCCGCGUGAGGGAUGAAGGCCCUCGGGUUGUAAACCUCUUUCGGCAGGGAAGAAGCGCAAGUGACGGUACCUGCAGAAGAAGUCCCGGCUAACUACGUGCCAGCCGCCGCAGUAAAAC